rnacentral:rRNA from 1 species
CACGUAGGCGGCCAUUCAAGUCAGAGGUGAAAGCCCGGGGCUCAACCCCGGAACUGCCUCUGAAACUAGAUGGCUUGAAUCUUGGAGAGGCGAGUGGAAUUCCGAGUGUAGAGGUGAAAUUCGUAGAUAUUCGGAAGAACACCAGUGGCGAAGGCGACUCGCUGGACAAGUAUUGACACUCAGAGACGAAAGCUAGGGGAGCAAACA